GUAGUCCACGCCCUAAACGAUGUCAACUAGUUGUUGGGGAUUUACUUCCUUGGUAACGUAGCUAACGCGUGAAGUUGACCGCCUGGGGAGUACGGCCGCAAGGUUAAAACUCAAAGGAAUUGACGGGGACCCGCACAAGCGGUGGAUGAUGUGGAUUAAUUCGAUGCAACGCGAAAAACCUUACCUACCCUUGACAUGGCAGGAAUUUUCCAGAGAUGGGAAAGUGCUCGAAAGAGAACCUGCACACAGGUGCUGCAUGGCUGUCGUCAGCUCGUGUCGUGAGAUGUUGGGUUAAGUCCCGCAACGAGCGCAACCCUUGUCAUUAGUUGCUACGAAAGGGCACUCUAAUGAGACUGCCGGUGACAAACCGGA
rnacentral:rRNA from 1 species